AAAAAGACAAACCCUGGUUUCCGUGUCCAACGUUUGACCGUCCGUCUUAUUUGAAAAAAUUAUGAAAAAAAUUAAAAAGACAAGUCACGCAUAAAAUAUUAAUCAUGUUUUAUCAUCCAACAACAAUGAAAAUACGAAUUAUAAAAAAAUUUCAUAUAAGACGGACAGUCAAAGUUGGACACGGAAACCCAUGGUUUGCCUUUUU
rfam:Oryza sativa Japonica Group DNA, chromosome 6, cultivar: Nipponbare, complete sequence.